ACAAUUAAUUACCAAAUAUUUAAAUUCUAAUCUAAAUUAAUAAUUAAUUAUAUAUUGUCCAACAUUGAUAGAAAAUCAAUCAAGAUUUUACAAAAACAUAUACAUAUGUAAAUAAAGAGCAAUAAAUUCUAAUAGUAACAUUAAAGAAUAAUGGAAAUAAGUAUCCAUUGUUUUCCUACAUUUCUUUACUUUGUCAAAUCGUACAUUUCUUUCAUAAUACAAAUAUGCUGUUAUAUAAUAGCAUGAAUAAAGUGUGACGAUUAUUACGCGAUUAUCGAUUUCUCGAUGCAUCAUGUGCGCGUGUUGUACAUACAUAUAUACACAUACUAUAAAUAUCAGUAUUUCUUUGUAGUAGUUAAUUGGACUCCUAUUUGCGCCGCUGGUCGUGCUUCGAAACAUUGUUCCCAAAGUUUAAAGCGAGUUCCUCUUUCGAACUUCUUUACGACAUUUCAUAAAAAAAUAAAUAAAAAAAAAAAAAAAUACAAAAAACAAUAUUUUCGCUUUUUGAAUUUCCCUCAUUUUUCAACGAAUCAACGGCCAGUAGCGUACAUCGUAGGAAUAUUGUUUUUCUUUCCCUAUUCCUUGAAAACUUCAGAGUGAAGCUAUCGCAACCUGAACCGUAAUUAAACAGAGCAUGAGAACUACGUGUAAAUUGACUUUCGAUUCACAUGUGGGUAAACAGUAGUACGAGUAAAUAAAUAGAUAUAAUGGCUGCUAAUGAAAUAGUAGUAAAAGAACAAAUGAUAUUCGAGCCGUUGUUGCCAUUCAACCAACGAGAGGAUUAAGCAAUUGAAGAAUUAGUGAAAGAAGAGGAAAAAAAGAGAAAAAAAGAAAAAAAAAUAUUGAUACAUAUAUAUUAUAUUCGUUAGACGUGCCGAAUAAACAAAUAUUUCUGUAGCGGCGAAUAUCUUUUCGACUCUUGGAAGGUUAAGUAUGA